rnacentral:rRNA from 1 species
ACGGGGUGCAGCAGGCGCGAAACCUCCGCAAUGUGAGAAAUCGCGACGGGGGGAUCCCAAGUGCCAUUCUUAACGGGAUGGCUUUUCAUUAGUGUAAAGAGCUUUUGGAAUAAGAGCUGGGCAAGACCGGUGCCAGCAGCCGCGGUAAU